GGACUUUUGAUGAUGAGGUAUCACUCCGCCAGAAAAGUAGAGACCUGUGUAUGUGUUUCAUGUUUCCAACAAAGGUAUCACUCCGCCAGAAAAGUAGAGACCUGUGUAUGUGUUUCAUGUUUCCAACAAAGGUGGCCAAUAAAGGAUGAAACGAC